AUUAAUAUUAAUCAAUAUAACAAAAAAUAUUUUAACCAUAUGGUCCUUUCGUACUAAUAUGGAUUAACAAUCUUAGGAUAGAAACCGACCUGGCUCACGCCGGUCUGAACUCAGAUCAUGUAAGAAUUUAAAGGUCGAACAGACCUAAUCAUUGGGCUCCUGCACCCAAAAUUUUUCUUAAUCCAACAUCGAGGUCGCAAUCUGCUUUGUCGAUAUGAGCUCUCAAAAACAAUUACGCUGUUAUCCCUAAGGUAACUUAAUCUUAUGAUCAUAAAUUAUGGAUCAAAAUAACAAACAUAAAUAAAUGAUAUAAUAAUGAAGAGUUUAUCUAUUCUUCAUGUCACCCCAACAAAACAUCAUCAUUAAAUAUAGAAAGACAAACAAAAAACUAUAUAAAAGUAAAAUGUCAAGCUCUAUAGGGUCUUCUCGUCCUAAAGAAGAAUUUAAGCCUUUUGAAACAAAAGUUAAAUUCAAAAAUUUAUUAAGAGACAGUUGAUUUCUCGUCAAGCCAUUCAUUCCAGCCACUAAUUAAGAGACUAAUGAUUAUGCUACCUUUGCACGGUCAAAAUACCGCGGCUCUUUAAAAAUACGCUCAGUGAGCAGGCCAGACCUCAAAAUAUAAACAAGAGGACAUGUUUUUGAUAAACAGGCGGAAAUCAAUUUUGCCUAGUUCCUUAUAAUAAGUUCACAAGGUAAAAAUUUCAUACAAAUAAAUAUACUAAUUCUAUCAUUAUUACAAAAAUUUUAAAAUUAAAUUAAUAUUCUUAAUAAAAAACCUAAAAUAUUUAUAAAAUCAAAAUAAAAAAUAAUGAACUAAAACGUAAUCUUAAAGAUAGCUGGUUUAAAGCUUACUUUUAUAUUACUAUAAAAUAAAUUAUAGGUUAUUAACUUCAAAGCUUAUCCCUUAAAGAAUAAAUAAGUUAAUAUUUUUACUUAAAAAAUUAAAUAAAAACAAAUAACUUUAAAAAAUUAAAUUUUUUCUUAAGAAACUAGAUAUCU